rnacentral:rRNA from 1 species
UACGUAGGCAGCAAACGUUGUUCGGAAUUACUGGGCGUAAAGAGUGUGUAGGCGGUUCUGCAAGUUUUGGUGUGAAAUCUCCCGGCUUAACUGGGAGGGUGCGCCGAAAACUGCAAAGCUAGAGUACUGGAGAGGAAAGCGGAAUUCCUGGUGUAGCGGUGAAAUGCGUAGAUAUCAGGAGGAACACCGGUGGUGUAGACGGCUUUCUGGACAGUAACUGACGUGAGACACGAAAGCGUGGGGAGCAAACAGG